CCGAGUCUGGUUCCACCUGAGGUCUUCGACGCGCUGCACGACGUGUUGAACUUCAACGGCGCCCAGGUUUUCCUCAGCUGCGAUCCCUCCCGCAAUGGACCCAACGACUAUCACGUCAUCGCCUCGCCCGACCAUGAGAAAUUUGAGUAUCUUCGAUCCAAGGACUGUAAUUUGCUCGGACGCCAUUCGAAAGAAGGUCAAUG